rnacentral:rRNA from 1 species
AUGAACGCUGGCGGCGUGCCUAAUACAUGCAAGUCGAGCGAACAGACGAGGAGCUUGCUCCUCUGACGUUAGCGGCGGACGGGUGAGUAACACGUGGAUAACCUACCUAUAAGACUGGGAUAACUUCGGGAAACCGGAGCUAAUACCGGAUAAUAUAUUGAACCGCAUGGUUCAAUAGUGAAAGACGGUUUUGCUGUCACUUAUAGAUGGAUCCGCGCCGCAUUAGCUAGUUGGUAAGGUAACGGCUUACCAAGGCAACGAUGCGUAGCCGACCUGAGAGGGUGAUCGGCCACACUGGAACUGAGACACGGUCCAGACUCCUACGGGAGGCAGCAGUAGGGAAUCUUCCGCAAUGGGCGAAAGCCUGACGGAGCAACGCCGCGUGAGUGAUGAAGGUCUUCGGAUCGUAACUCUGUUAUUAGGGAAGAACAAAUGUGUAAGUAACUAUGCACGUCUUGACGGUACCUAAUCAGAAAGCCACGGCUAACUACGUG